GUAGGUGGCAAGCGUUGUCCGGAAUUAUUGGGCGUAAAGCGCGCGCAGGUGGGUUCUUUAAGUCUGAUGUGAAAGCCCCCGGGCUCAACCGGGGAGGGUCAUUGGAAACUGGGGAACUUGAGUGCAGGAGAGGAAAGUGGAAUUCCACGUGUAGCGGUGAAAUGCGUAGAUAUGUGGAGGAACACCAGUGGCGAAGGCGACUUUCUGGCCUGUAACUGACACUGAGGCGCGAAAGCGUGGGGAGCAAACAGGAUUAGAUACCCUGGUAGUCCACGCCGUAAACGAUGAGUGCUAAGUGUUGGGGGGUUUCCGCCCCUCAGUGCUGCAGCUAACGCAUUAAGCACUCCGCCUGGGGAGUACGGUCGCAAGGCUG
rnacentral:rRNA from 1 species